GAAGCUGAAUCUGGGUUAUCUCAAGACUUAGAGAUGUCUGGCCUAUGUCAAGAGAUAAAUGAUGGAUAAGCUAGAGAAUAGAUCUAUUAUAGCUCACUUUAUAGAGUAUCCAAAAGAAUCUAUGGGAUACUACUUCUACUUAUCAUAAGAUCAUAAUGUGAUUGUGAGUCGAAAUACCGUAUUCUUAGAAAAUUAGUUUAUCCAAGAUGGCAGC
rnacentral:lncRNA from 1 species